GAUGAAGAACGUAGCGAAAUGCGAUAAGUAAUGUGAAUUGCAGAAUUCAGUGAAUCAUCGAAUCUUUGAACGCACAUUGCGCCCGCCAGUAUUCUGGCGGGCAUGCCUGUUCGAGCGUCAUUUCAACCAUCAAGCCCCAGGCUUGUGUUGGGGACCUGCGGCUGCCGCAGGCCCUGAAAACCAGUGGCGGGCUCGCUGUCACACCGGGCGUAGUAGAUUUUAUCUCGCUCAGGGCGUGCUGCGGGUUCCGGCCGUUAAAAAGCCUUUUUUACCCAAGGUUGACCUCGGAUCAGGUAGGAAGACCCGCUGAACUUAAGCAUAUCAAUAAGCGGUGGA
rnacentral:misc_RNA from 1 species